GUCGAUGUAGUAUAGUGGUGAGUAUCCCCGCCUGUCACGCGGGAGGCCCGGGUUUGAUUCCCGGUAACGGCG
rnacentral:tRNA from 1 species